rnacentral:rRNA from 1 species
CGUGGGCAAUCUGCCCUGCACUUCGGGAUAAGCCUGGGAAACUGGGUCUAAUACCGGAUAGGACCUCAAGACGCAUGUCUUCUGGUGGAAAGCUUUUGCGGUGUGGGAUGGGCCCGCGGCCUAUCAGCUUGUUGGUGGGGUGACGGCCUACCAAGGCGACGACGGGUAGCCGGCCUGAGAGGGUGUCCGGCCACACUGGGACUGAGAUACGGCCCAGACUCCUACGGGAGGCAGCAGUGGGGAAUAUUGCACAAUGGGCGCAAGCCUGAUGCAGCGACGCCGCGUGGGGGAUGACGGCCUUCGGGUUGUAAACCUCUUUCACCAUCGACGAAGGUCCGGGUUUUCUCGGAUUGACGGUAGGUGGAGAAGAAGCACCGGCCAACUACGUGCCAGCAGCCGCGGUAAUACGUAGGGUGCGAGCGUUGUCCGGAAUUACUGGGCGUAAAGAGCUCGUAGGUGGUUUGUCGCGUUGUUCGUGAAAUCUCACGGCUUAACUGUGAGCGUGCGGGCGAUACGGGCAGACUAGAGUACUGCAGGGGAGACUGGAAUUCCUGGUGUAGCGGUGGAAUGCGCAGAUAUCAGGAGGAACACCGGUGGCGAAGGCGGGUCUCUGGGCAGUAACUGACGCUGAGGAGCGAAAGCGUGGGGAGCGAACAGGAUUAGAUACCCUGGUAGUCCACGCCGUAAACGGUGGGUACUAGGUGUGGGUUUCCUUCCUUGGGAUCCGUGCCGUAGCUAACGCAUUAAGUACCCCGCCUGGGGAGUACGGCCGCAAGGCUAAAACUCAAAGGAAUUGACGGGGGCCCGCACAAGCGGCGGAGCAUGUGGAUUAAUUCGAUGCAACGCGAAGAACCUUACCUGGGUUUGACAUGCACAGGACGCGUCUAGAGAUAGGCGUUCCCUUGUGGCCUGUGUGCAGGUGGUGCAUGGCUGUCGUCAGCUCGUGUCGUGAGAUGUUGGGUUAAGUCCCGCAACGAGCGCAACCCUUGUCUCAUGUUGCCAGCGGGUAAUGCCGGGGACUCGUGAGAGACUGCCGGGGUCAACUCGGAGGAAGGUGGGGAUGACGUCAAGUCAUCAUGCCCCUUAUGUCCAGGGCUUCACACAUGCUACAAUGGCCGGUACAAAGGGCUGCGAUGCCGUAAGGUUAAGCGAAUCCUUUUAAAGCCGGUCUCAGUUCGGAUUGGGGUCUGCAACUCGACCCCAUGAAGUCGGAGUCGCUAGUAAUCGCAGAUCAGCAACGCUGCGGUGAAUACGUUCCCGGGCCUUGUACACACCGCCCGUCACGUCAUGAAAGUCGGUAACACCCGAAGCCAGUGGCCUAACC